rnacentral:misc_RNA from 1 species
GAUGAAGAACGUAGCAAAAUGCGAUACUUGGUGUGAAUUGCAGAAUCCCGUGAACCAUCGAGUUUUUGAACGCAAGUUGCGCCCGAAGCCUUUUGGCCGAGGGCACGUCUGCCUGGGCGUCACGCAUCGCGUCGCCCCCCACAAUUCUCCGUAAAGGGAACAUGUGUUUUGGGGGCGGAUAUUGGUCUCCCGUGCUCAUGGCGUGGUUGGCCGAAAUAGGAGUCCUUUCGAUGGACGCACGAACUAGUGGUGGUCGUAAAAACCCUCGUCUUUUGUUUCGUGCUGUUGCUCGCAAGGUAAACUCUUUAAAAACCCCAAUGUGUCGUCUCUUGACGACGCUUCGACCGCGACCCCAGGUCAGGCGGGACUACCCGCUGAGUUUAAGCAUAUCAAUGAGCGGAGGA